rnacentral:piRNA from 1 species
UGAUGUACCUGCCUUCAGGCUAAUUUCUAAG